rnacentral:rRNA from 1 species
AAAUUGAAGAGUUUGAUCAUGGCUCAGAUUGAACGCUGGCGGCAGGCCUAACACAUGCAAGUCGAACGGUAACAGGAAGCAGCUUGCUGCUUCGCUGACGAGUGGCGGACGGGUGAGUAAUGUCUGGGAAGCUGCCUGAUGGAGGGGGAUAACUACUGGAAACGGUGGCUAAUACCGCAUAACGUCGCAAGACCAAAGAGGGGGACCUUCGGGCCUCUUGCCAUCAGAUGUGCCCAGAUGGGAUUAGCUAGUUGGUGAGGUAACGGCUCACCAAGGCGACGAUCCCUAGCUGGUCUGAGAGGAUGACCAGCCACACUGGAACUGAGACACGGUCCAGACUCCUACGGGAGGCAGCAGUGGGGAAUAUUGCACAAUGGGCGCAAGCCUGAUGCAGCCAUGCCGCGUGUAUGAAGCAGGCCUUCGGGUUGUAAAGUACUUUCAGCGGGGAGGAAGGUGUUGUGGUUAAUAACCACAGCAAUUGACGUUACCC